rnacentral:snoRNA from 1 species
ACCGAGACUAGAGUCACAUCUUAACAUGCUUGAUUGUCUUGGUGUGCUGUAGUUCUCGGACAUAAACAUCUGAUUCCUAUUCACUGGCUGCGAUGUCUUGGGCCUCAGCCAGCCACCGAAUCAGUGACAGAU